GGAAGGAUCAUUAACACGUAUCCACGUAUCUACCUCUUGUGAACUUGUUUUUGUUAGUAGUUGUGUUAUGUACGACUGAGGAUGCAGAUGACCAUGUCGUUUCUUUGUCAUUUUCUAGGGGGGAAACCCUUUGAUUUUGAUGAAAAUGUUCUGCUUGCCUGUCCGCCCUUGCUGAGUGCUAGUGUAUCGAGAUUGACCCACCUACCUCCGAAGAAGUAGAUGAGGCAAUCCUAUUAGCCAUAACUCCAUGGGAUGGGUACAUGAUGUAACUCGAAUCAUGGUGGUAUUCACCUAUUAACCCUUUUUUUCAAUAAUUGUCUUAGUGAGUGUCUCAGUCGUAAAAAAGCUGAGCCUCCCCAAAAUUAACACUAUACAACUCUUAGCAACGGAUAUCUCGGUUCUCCUAUCGAUGAAGAACGCAGCGAAAUGCGAUACGUAAUGCGAAUUGCAGAAUUCAGUGAAUCAUCGAAUCUUUGAACGCAAAUUGCACUCUGGGGUAGCCCCCAGAGUACUCUUCUUUCAGUAUCGGUUCCACACAACUCAGCCUGCGUGCACAUUUCGAUGUUGUUCUCAGUGCUGGAGAAUGAGAGUCAAAAAUGUUUUUUUUGUCUCUUUAAGUAUUAUAUUGCUUGUAACGUCUGUAAUGCCGAAAGGAUGUCUCUACACCAACACCUCUAGUGUACGAAAGUACGGCUUCCAAUAGCUAAAAACAGCGUCACUGUCCUCUGAUAAGUUUCCUUUUUUUGGAUUCACCUCUAAGGACUUGGUGAUAGAUCGCUGGGAUUGGCCCGAAAAAGGGACUAGAGAUUGGAGAUAUCGGCCGAGUAACGCACUACCCAAGAUGUUCGGAGCUCUCUUUAAGAUAACAAAAAAAAAGAAGAAAAAGAAAUUUUUUUUUUUUUUUUUUAAUUUAUGAAUUUGAUCUGAAAUGAAGUGAGACUACCCGCCGAAUUUAAGCAUAUUAUUAAGCGGAGGAAAAGAAACUAACAAGGAUUCCCCUAGUAACGGCGAGUGAAGCGGGAAAAGCUCAACCUGAAAAUCGGUGUACCUAGCGGUGCUCCGAAUUGUGGGGUAGUGACGUAGUGCCAGCGUGUGACCUGGGUAUAAAUCUUUUGAAACAAGGUAUCAGAGAGGGUGAGAAUCCCGUCUUUGACCCGGAGUUUGCCGCGUACGGCCUGCGUUCUAAGAGUCGGAUAGCUUGGGAAUGCUGUCCUAAAUGGGUGGUAAAUUUCAUCUAAAGCUAAAUAUAGAGGAGAGACCGAUAGCGAACAAGUACCGUGAGGGAAAGAUGAAAAGAACUUUGAAAAGAGAGUUAAAAAGUACUUGAAAUUGCUAAGAGGUAAGCACUGGAAACCAGUCAUGCCUGGGGUUAUUUGCCCACUCGCUGUUUGCACAGGUAGUUGCUGGGACUUUAACGGCCCGGUGGCCUCCUGCUUGCUUUCAGGGGGUGGGAACUGUAACUUUGGGCGAGUCAACAUCAGUUAGUCUCGCGGGAGAAGGUUAUUUGGGAGGUAGUCCACCCUAGCAAUAGGGAGGAAACUAAUAUACCAAGUAACACUACCGUGGGGUUGACUGAGGAAACGAUAACGCGCCCCGCAAGGGAGCGAUCCCUAGUUCCUGCUCUUGUAGUCGAGGCGGAAAACAAAGUUUUGCGUUUUGGCUAUCUGGGGUACUGAGCUGGGUCGAUCAGCUGCGUGUUCGCGAUGUUGACGAAAUGGUUUUCAUUGACCCGUCUUGAAACACGGACCAAGGAGUCUAACAUAUAUGCGAGUAUUUGGGUGCGUAAAACCCUGAUGCGUAAUGAAAGUAAAGCAGGUCUUAUGACUUGUGAGGUAGGAACCCUGGGCUUGUCUCGGGAGGCACUAUCGACCGAUCGAUCAUUUAUGAGAGAUUUGAGUAAGAGCAUAUCUGUUGGGACCCGAAAGAUGGUGAACUAUGCCUGAUCAGGGCGAAGCCAGGGGAAACUCUGGUGGAGGCUCGUAGCGAUACUGACGUGCAAAUCGUUCGUCUGAAUUGGGUAUAGGGGCGAAAGACUAAUCGAACCAUCUAGUAGCUGGUUCCCUC
rnacentral:misc_RNA from 1 species